GUUAGAACUGUAUAUGAUGUGUAAAGGGUUGAAGGUUUUAAACUCAGUCUCUCAACGGAUGAGAUUUAGAAGGAAGAAUUGGUGGACUACAGGAUAUUGUGCCUUUAGAAGCUUGCUACAUUUAAAAUUGAUUAAAUAAUUGUUAAGGGAUUAACAAAAGGGAACAUUUUAAUUGUAUAUGUCCACAUUUCUGUGUAUGUGACAAAAUUUGUGAAACUGUCCUAUUAUAAUUUCCUGUUAUUGGGAGUAUAAUCCUGUGUUGCAAACCCAAAAGGGAACUGAGUCACGCCAAAUAACAGGAACUAUAAGGAUAUGUGCUUACCACCCAAUGCUUCGGAAUUCAGACUGUCUACACUGCACUGUGUAACUGUUAUUCUCUCUGAGCUCAGAAAUAAUCUUGGUUUGACUUGGACUCCAGCCGAUCCUCAUUUUUAUAUAUCCACCACACAUCCCUACGGUGAAGCAUGGUGGCAGCAUCAUGCUGUGGGGAUGUUUUUCAACGUAGGAGUGGCUUCGGGACAAGUCUCUGAAUGUCCUUAAGUGGGCCAGCCAGAGCCCAGACUUGAACCCGAUCAAACAUCUCUGGAGAGACCUGAAAAUAGCUGUGCAGCGACGCUCCUCAUCCAACCUGACAGAGCUUGAGAGGAUCUUCAGAGAAGAAUGGGAGAAACUUGUCAAGCUUGUAGCGUGAUACCCAGAAGACUCGAGGCUGUUAUCGCAGCCAAAGGUGCUUCAACAAAGUACUGAUUAAAGAGUCUGAAUACUUAUACUCAGGGAUUGAACCCCUGCUACUAGGAUUACAUCCUGAGUCUGGAUCACUACACUACCACUAGACCAAACUCAAACUAGUCAUGGAACAGAUAAAGUCAUUAUUUUACAGUUCAACCUGACCAGAGGUCCACAUGAAGGAGAAGCAAGGGACCAGUCCAGUGUGAAGACAACCCCUCAGGUGAUCCUGGAGAGGUGGUCUAUGACAAAGACACAUUUCCCAUCGGACAUCGGCCUCUUGCAAAGCAGGCAACAGAUGGCACACAGACAGCAGAGCUGGGGACAGAUAUGCAGGGACAGACUGGCAGAGACAGGGAGUCUCAGGGUCCAGUCCAGUGUGAAGACAACCCCUCAGGUGAUCCUGGAGAGGUGGUCUAUGACAGACACAUUCCCAUUGGACAUCGGCGUCCUGUGAUUCUCCUAGAUCUGUCCGCUGCCUUAGACACCGUGAACCAUCAGAUCCUCUCACGGUUAGGUGCCUCAGGCUCUGCACACUGUUGGAUUGCAGAUUGUAAAUUAAACAAAUAUUUUUUCUAAAAUAAAGAUUAUAUUAUUGA